AUACUUACCUUAGGUCGGCCCCGGGCGCUCAAGAAGGCUUGGGUCCAUGGGACUGUCUACUCAUUGCACAUCGAGCAGCACGGUCUCAUUGAGCGUGCUUCGGUACUCUCAGACCUGUAUUUUUUGGCUCUUGCAAUUCUGCUUGCUC
rnacentral:snRNA from 16 species